rnacentral:rRNA from 1 species
CCCUUAGAUGUUCUGGGCCGCACGCGCGCUACACUGAAGGGAUCAGCGUGUUUUCCCUUCCCGAGAGGGACGGGUAACCCGCUGAACCCCCUUCGUGGUAGGGAUCGGAGCUUGCAAUUGUUCUCCGUGAACCAGGAAUUCCCAGUAAGCGCAAGCCAUAAGCUUGCGUUGAUUACGUCCCUGCCCUUUGUACACACCGCCCGUCGCUACUACCGAUUGAACGUUUUAGUGAGGUAUUUGGACUGGGCCUUGGGAGGUUUCGGCCUCCCUUGUUGCUCGGAAAGACUCCCAAACUUGAGCGUUUAGAGGAAGUAAAAGUCGUAACA